CAAGAAAACAUUUACAGAAUCACACUACAUUUUCUGGUUAGAAAAAAUAGAACUGCAGAACCUCCUUGAAAGGGGCGAGACAAAAGAAGAGGGCUGGCUGAGAAACAAACCCAGAAAAGAUCAAAACCCCUCACCAUCGCCUUGAGGAAGAAAAGAAAUUAGGCUGCUGGCCUCUCCAUUUAAAGGUUGCUCCAUUGUGGUCAGGUGAGAGCCGCCAUCUCUUAGCCCACUCCCUCUGUUCCUGUUGGACUCGGAGGAGGAGCGGCCCACCUGGCAGGGUCUGCGAGCACAGAAAGCCAAGUGUCUUGUAAGAUGGUGCCAUUUCAGGUGCACUGCUUUAUAGACAGGCAGAUGGGGAUAGGAAAUCAUGAAUUCUUGCACAGGCUUUCCUCGUUCUUAAAGGGAAUGAAGAUGAACAAAGGAUCAUUGCACAGGCAUUUGGAGAUCCAGCCCUGGAGAACAGAGAAGCAGCUCUUCAGCAUGACAUGUAUGAAGCAAUAUUAUUCAGGUUUUCAACUGGCAUUUGUUUCAUUGGCAAAGAACCAGAACCUGACCAGCCCUGAAGAGUUUCAGUCUAAAUUUCUAAAGCCUUCUGGUAGCCCAAUAUGUUGAAGACAUAAUGAGAAGACUUCAGGGCUCAUAUAUUAAGUUUUUGCUAGUAUAAUUGAUUCUAAUUAUAAAGAAAGUUAAAUUUCCAGAAAAAUGUCAAAAACAUAACAUUAAAAUAUAUCACUUGUUGUAAUAUAUAUUUAUGAAAAACUAUUUUGUAGGACUCUAAAAAGUUAAAUAAAAUACAUUCUGUGCUUCACUUUCUUCAUCU
rnacentral:lncRNA from 1 species